rnacentral:rRNA from 1 species
CCUACGGGAGGCUGCAGUGGGGAAUAUUGCACAAUGGGGGAAACCCUGAUGCAGCGACGCCGCGUGUGGGAAGACUGUCCUCUGGAUUGUAAACCACUUUCCCCAGGGACGAAGAUGACGGUACCUGGGGAGGAAGCUCCGGCUAACUACGUCCCAGCAGCCGCGGUAAUACGUCGGUAGCGAGCGUUGUCCGGAAUUACUGGGUGUAAAGGGAUCGUAGGCGGGACUGCAAGUUGGGGGUCAAAUCUACCGGCUAAACCGGGAGCAGCACUCCAAACUGGAGUUCUUGAGUGAAGUAGAGGCAGGCGGAAUUCCUGGUGUAGCGGUGAAAUGCGUAGAUAUUAGGAGGAACACCAGUGGCGAAGGCGGCCUGCUGGGCUUUUACUGACGCUGAGGCUCGAAAGUGUGGGGAGCAAACAGGAUUAGAUACCCGGGUAGUC